rnacentral:rRNA from 1 species
UACGUAGGGUGCAAGCGUUGUCCGGAAUUAUUGGGCGUAAAGAGCUUGUAGGCGGUUUGUCGCGUCUGCUGUGAAAUUUCGGGGCUCAACCCCGAACUUGCAGUGGGUACGGGCAGUCUAGAGUGUGGUAGGGGAGACUGGAAUUCCUGGUGUAGCGGUGAAAUGCGCAGAUAUCAGGAGGAACACCGAUAGCGAAGGCAGGUCUCUGGGCCAUAACUGACGCUGAGAAGCGAAAGCAUGGGGAGCGAACAGG